UAAAAUUUUUGAAAAAAAUCAUUUUUCUUCCAACGUUCAAAGUAGGUAUAGAUAAAGUACAGAUAAACAAAAAAGAGGAAAAUAACUCCAUGAUCCGAAGAGAAUUGAUAGCAUUUUGAAGUAAACAUUCAAAUAUGUGCUAUAUAUGUACAUAACAGGAUGUUAAAAAGGGACUCUUUCUGCUUACUUUUGGCUGAAGCCCUACAGGUGGAUAACAAUACAAUAGGUACCCAAGAAUCCCAUGUCCUAAAUAUUCAAAUUAAGUUGCUGUGAUGCCUAGGCAAGGGUAGACCGAGAGAUUAUGAAACAGGUUCUGCCAGAAUUGAGCCAUCACCCCACCAGCCUAAAAAGUAGGGGUUGAAGAGUAGUGAGAGAAAAUGUCAUGGAGGGCCUUGUUGGUGGGCUGGGUCCCACUCCACCUCCCAGGGAGGAGAGAAGUACAUCCCCUCAUCCGAAGCCAAGCGAGAGGGGCUUCCAAGACCCACUCAGAGAGCUAGACACGUCCUUCUGGAGCUUGGGAACUGGUGUCUGCCUUUUAUCAAGAAAAGCCCGCAGAUGAGAGACUGGCUGGACCUAAGCCUACCCGAUAGCAAGGAGAGAGAAGGGCUGCACUGCCAUGGUGGCAGGCCAAGAUGUGUGAGCUUCGCCAGGGCCAUGUGGAUCCGAGGAGGGAUCUAGCCUGAGUUAUUUAAAAAAGGGACCACAGGGACUUCCCUGGCGGUCCAGUGGUUAAGACUCCAAGCUUCCACUGCUGGGGACGCAGGUUCGAUCCCUGGUGGGGGAAAUAAGGUCCCGCAUGCUGUGGGUCGCGGCCAAAAUUGAAAAAAAUAAUAAAAGGGGACCACUUAAGAGGAUACCUGAGUGGGAGGGCAAAGGGCCCAAAGGAUAGGGUUAGUGUAAGGGAGAUGGCUGGAAACCCCAUGGGUGGAGGGGAGAACUGGAAGCUUCCACCUGGAAGAGAGACAGUGUCCUUAAACAGUGAAUUUUGGGAGCAACCUGCAAAGGCAUGUACCAGAGAAAGAGGCUGCAAGGUGCAUCUACCACACUCGCAGAAGCCAAUGAAGGAUCUGGCUGAGCCUGCCAGGGAAGACUGCCCUUCCCCCGCUGCCAUCCCAAGGGCCCUGCCUUGGAUGGGGUUGGAGCUGAAGGGAAGAUGAGGCGCUAUGAGAGGGAAGACAGCACUACUAAGCUUUCCAGGAGUCCAAGUUCGCAACAGGUUGGCCUGGAGGAGAAGAUUCCCUUUAAGUGGAAAAGUUCAGAUUGGACUGAAUUAUCGAAUUAAGACCGUCCAACUGACUGAAAGGGAUCAUAAAAGCUUUGAGACCUGCCUGAGACUUCAUCCAGGCACAGGAAAAGGACAAAUCCAGAAAGUAGGUUUGAAGUAAAUGUGGGAGAAGGAAAACAGUUGCUUUGUUAUCACACUUGUGCCCAUCUUAAUCAACAAAAUAGUAACAAGUAUAAGAAAUAUUUUUAAACAAGUAUUGGAUCAUACUGGGUUCUUAUGUAAAUUAAAUGUUUGAUGUUUGGCAUGUAAUAGCAUAAUGCUUGGCACAUAAUAAAUACCAUAUAAGUGUUAGCUAUUAUUUUUCUUAAUAAGAAUACUAACAUUCUAACCUGCCUUUUUAAUUUAACAAUAUAUCCUAAAUAUAUUUUCAUGUUAAUAAGUACAAUUAUGGCACAUAACCAGAAUGAGAUCCACAAUGUCUGUUUUAUUCACUAACGUAUCCUAUUUACAACAGUGCCUAGCACAUAGCAGGUAAUCAAUUGCUAAAUGAAUCAUUUCAAGUGGCUCUAAUGUGUUGUUGUAUGGAAUGUACUAUAUUUAUUCAUUGAUCUCCUGUUAUUGGUUAGAAAACAUUGGAAACAACUGCAUCUAGGUGGUUUCCAAUCUUUCAUGAUGAUAAACCAAACUCUAACAAAUGUCCAUAUUUUUGGAUCUUCGUGUACCUCCUUCAUUAUUUUCUUGGUAUAAGUUCUUAGAAGAGGAAUUGCUGUUAAAGGGUAUGAAUGUUUUAUUAAAACUUCGAAAAUUGCCAAAUUGCCCUCUGGAGGGAGACUAUGGAAGAAUUAGGAAUUUCGAAGUACAGAGAUUAUUUUUAUUUUCUUUGUAUAGCUCUGAUAUUUCCCAGUUCCAAGAGUUUUGGCAUGGCUUCAACCAAGAAGGCUUUCUGCAAGGUUGAAAAUUAAAACACAUUUCGGGAACUUUUUCUAGGACAUAGUUGACUGAAUGAAAUGGAAGGGAAAACAAAGCAAUUCAGCCGCGGUGAGUAACUCCACAGCCCAGGAAGCCUCAGCCUGGAAGAGAAUAGAUUCCUCUCCAGGCAUCACAGAGAAGAAUUAUAAGUCAAGAAUACAACUAACUGUUUACUGAGCACCCACGAGGAAUGGCACUGUUCUGGCUGUUGCGGACACAUGAUGCCCAGUACGUGCUAUUCCACAGCAUUGACCACUUCAGCAUGUGGUGGCCUCUCUCUGCUACCCCCUCCCUUCCCUUCUUUCCCUGCCUUCCAGCCCCCAUGCCCAGAAUGUAAGCUUUCCAGGGAACGGCCUUUGUUUAUUUCAUCUUGCAUCCCUGGCACACAACAGGAAAAAUGCAGUAGAUGCAAUGCAUGUUUGUAAAACUGAACAGAACUCCCCCUAGGAAAAUUCUAGAGGGGCUGGCACAAAGUCUGGAAAACAUACACGUGUACACACAUUUGAAUGGCUAAUGCCAAAUGUGAGAAGCUCAACCGCUGUCAUCUUGAGUUCUCACACUAGAAGCUCAGGCAGAUACUGAGUUUUGAGCCCCUUCUCAGAUCAGUCUUCUGACCCAGAUUUGUUCAGUAACAGGAUCUAGUUAGACUAGAUGACUGUGAUGAAGUUUCACUCUGCUCCUUUAUGUGGAAUAGCAGACAAAUAUUGAAGCCCACAUAAGCUUGAGACCCUGAGCCAAGCAACCCAAAAGAUUGCAUACCUCCCUUAGCACUUGUGUGUUGAAUCUGCGUUCGGGGCUUUGGCACGUUCUCUGGACGUUGUCAGUGGGUGAAGCUAUAUGGUGGAGAUGACUGGAUGCCUACCCAGUGUCCAUUCACUCCUGCUUCUUCACUAUGGAACCCAUUAUUAUUAGAGAUAGCAAAGUACCUAAUUAAAAAAAUUACAUUUCUAGGCCUGCUUUGAGGACAGGGGUAGCCAAUGAGAUAUAAAGGGAGUUGUUGGGUGAGACUUCCAGGAACACUCCUAAAGGAGCCCUAUUCAUCUACUAUGUGGUUUUGUUCUUCAUGACUUCCUCCCUUCUCUCUUCUUGUUACCUAGGUCACAGAUACAGUAGCUGGAGCUCCAGCAGCCAUCUUGUGACCAUGAACUUAAGGAUGGAAAUCAGUACUAGGCAUGUUAGAGCAGAAAGGAUAGGAGAUUUGGAAAAACCAGCCCAAGCCUGCCUGCUUCCAGAUUUAUUUUACCUGAGAGAAAAACAAACCCCUAUCUUGUUUAACUACUGUCACUUGACUCUGUUAGUAGAGGCUAACUGUAAUUGCUAUGGGGAUGACUUUCUAUGGGAUGAAGGGCACAGUAGGCAUUUGGAAAUUUUUUGGGGGGGGUGGUUGUACUUUUUUGCUGUCACAAUAAAUGACACUACUUGUAUUUAGUAGAUAAGAGCCUGGGAUGUUCUGUCAUAGAUGUUCAUGCAGAAUUAAAAUGACAACAACAAUGUUUAUAAUUACCUGUGCCUCAAACAUAACUAUAUUUUACGUAUAAAUAAAAUGUAUAAUUUGCAUGGUUUCAGACACACUUAAUUUUCCAGGAAUGCAACUGCCAUGUGAAACAAAGAAAUCUUGUACUUUGUUUUUUGGACCUUUACUAGGAUUUGUUCACAGCACUAAUUAUAUGCAGCAUGACACAACUGUAUUGAUCUACGUUUAUAGCUGUCCCGUUCAUGGUGAAUGUAUGAAUAAUUACAUUUGUCUCCUUCAUCUUAUCUUCUAAGGUAGUUGGGCCCAAGCUUUUCCAUAUUGAAAUACAUAUUACUUUAUUACAAAUGACCUCCCUUUUAUUUCUCCUCUGAAUCUUUCCAGUCAAGGCAGUAUGCUGAUCUUAUUUUUGAGAAGGUAUAUAUGGGUAGGUUAUAUUAUCUAUACAUUGCAUCUCAGGGUCAUAACAUUUGUUUCAUAAAAGAAGGAGAAAUGCAUUCGUUUUGACAUUGUGCCUGUUGUCCCAAUUGAUCAGACUAUUACACAUUCAGCCUUUGUCGGCCUUCUUCGCUUUCAUGCUAAGAGGCAGAAAGGACUGGCAAUAGAGAGCUGAGUGGGGUUUAUAUGUCAGAGCAAAACAGGCAUGAUUUUUACAUUCAUCAGUAGCAAGCCUGGCUUUGGGCAUAAAUACAGAAGAUGCCAUAUGUGCAAUGUCAUUUGAGAGUUAAUUGUUUCUGAGAGUUAAGUAUCAAUAUUAAUCUGUGACCUACCAUGACAACUCUAUACACAUUAGUUUAUCAGAGGACACAGAAUUAGGACAGAACUAUCUAUUGAUAGAGGGGGAGCCAGGGCAAGGCACAGUUCUGGAACUCCAGGGACUCGGAAAGGAAGGGAUGGGGAGUUGAAGAAACCACAGAGGUCAUCUGGGGGUAGGGAGAGUGCCAGGGGAAGGAGCAUGGCCAGAGGGGACUUGCAGCCUGCACGGCCAGCCCACGGUUCGCCCUGGUCACCCCUCUGGAGUGACUGAAUUAACCACAUCUCACACGCCUUAAUUGGAGCAGAUAAUUGGUGAGCUGGCUUUGUGCACAGGAAAUGUGUUCGGAUAAACUUGGCCGAGUGGAACAGGAAGAAUGGGGACCACCUGAUUUCAUCUUGUGCCAAGGAGGGAGAUACAAAGCAGCAGUGUCUCCUGUGGAGCCUGGCCCAGGCAAAGCAAGGGGACAGAGAACCUGUGCAAACUGCAGGCCAGUGGGAUCUCCCUGGACCAGAUGAUGGUCAGGAACUCUGGGACUGGGCUCAGUAAUUAAGCUGCUUUGUGACUUUGGGCAAGUAAUUUAACCUUUCUGUGUCUGUUUCCUCGUCUGUAAAACAAUUGAGGGGAAAGAAAAUGUUAUGACCUCCUUAAAAAUCAUGUCACUUCAUUCCAUCCAAUCACAGAUGUGGCUUGAUUGCCUCCUCUGUGGGUAGAACUAUGCCAGGGGCUGUGCCUGCUUCCCUGAAUGCCCAUAGGAGUGAGAGGGGUGUAAAACAAACACAUAUAAACAAUAUUUGCAGGGCAGUGAAAAAUCUUUACCCUUACCACAGAUAAAUCUCGACUAACUUGCACUUCAGGUUGGGCUAUAUCUUGAUCAAAUCUCCUGCUCCAGCCCUUUGGCCGUCUUCUUUCAGAGGUGCCUGGGAGAAGGACUGUUCAGAGAUGGCAUGUUGCCAGGACAACAGAAACCAAACACUGGAGAAGGUGUCAUCGUUUUUGAGGACGUGAUGGCUGUUUGUGGGCUCUUGAAGGUGCUUCCACCACCUAUCCCAGGGCCUGGCACCGCCCUCCCCCCC